rnacentral:rRNA from 1 species
CUGGAGCCAUCCAUUGGUGGGUCGUACUGAAAUGGUACUGUACGAGGAUAAUCGUAAGCAGAGUAGUUUCGAGUCCAAAAUCGGCUCCGGCGGGCGGCGGCCGCAUCUCCAUCUCCACCCUUCCUGGAAACACGACCCCUCGAGACAACCAAGGCGAGAGCCCCAAUCUUCUUGGCCCCCUGCCGUUAAAGAAAAUUUACUUCUUCGCCCCACGUUCGUUGACCUGCAAGCUCCGCUCUCCAAUCUCUCUGCUCUUGCGGCAGGCAGCACGGCGGCCAAUGGCGCAGGACGAUCCGGUUGUCUCUGCGCAAUGGCUGCAGCAGCACCUAGGGCAGCCCGAUAUCAAGGUAUUGGAUGCUUCCUGGUACAUGCCACAAGAGAGCAGGGACCCAUGGCAAGAAUACCAGGUGGCCCAUAUUCCUGGUGCGCUGUUCUUCGACAUCGAUGGAAUCGUCAAUCGGGCAACUGAUUUGCCACACAUGCUGCCAUCAGAAGAGGCUUUUGCUGCGGCUGUUUCUGCACUUGGUAUCAAUAACCAUGAUAAAGUUAUUGUUUAUGAUGGAAAGGGCUUCUUCAGUGCGCCUCGUGUUUGGUGGAUGUUCAGAGUUCUUGGACACGAUAAAGUUUGGGUCUUAGAUGGAGGUUUCCCUCAGUGGCAAGCUUCUGGAUUCAACAUUGCAAGCAGCUGCCCUGAUGAUGCAGUUCUGAAAUCCAAAGCGGCAAAUAAUGCUGUUGAAACAGCUUAUAAUGGUAAAUUGGCAAAUGCUGUCACAUUUCAAACAGAGUUUCGACCUCAGCUAUUCUGGACACUAGAAAAGGUCAAACAAAAUGUAGCUGCUAAGGCUCAUCAAGUAGUUGAUGCCCGAGCAAAGGGCAGAUUUGAUGGUGUAAUGCCAGAACCAAGGGAAGGAGUAAGAAGUGGGCAUAUACCUGGAACUAAAUGUGUUCCAUUCCCUGAGAUGUUUGAUGGUGCACAAACGCUCCUCCCUGCAGAUGAGCUAUCAAAAAAGUUUGAGCAAGAAGGCAUUUUGCUCGAUCACCCGAUUGUCGUCACAUGUGGAUCUGGUGUAACUGCCUGCAUACUUGCCCUGGGCCUCUAUAGAAUCGGUAAGCAUGACGUUCCAGUUUACGACGGAUCUUGGACAGAAUGGGAAGCGCAGCCCGAUAAUGAUUACCCAAAAGUUGCUUCAACUGCCCCUUAAAUCAACCAUUCUGUAGUGAUGAAUGCAGCUGUUGCAUUCUGCGGCAUUCAGCCCAGAUCGUCAGCACAAUGAUACUUCUCUGUGGCAAGCUUUGCACCGAAGUCGCCCAAAAGGUUAUAGGGAAAAGAGAAAUAUCUUUUGUACUAUGGCCAAUGGCUAUAGGCCGAUAAAGAGGAAAUCCUGUGUCGACUUAAUUUAUAAUGAUGUUGUACUUAACAAAAUCUUGACUUGAAAACAAGAUUAUUUGUCUGAAUUGAUUAUGUUUCGGAGUUGAUUGUCGUUUCUUUUG